GGGGUUGUAGCUCAGUGGUAGAGCACUUGCCUCACAUGUGUGAGGCCCUGGGUUCGGUCCCCAGAACCACA
rnacentral:tRNA from 1 species